AUGGGUAAGAAUUGGUUCAGCUCAAGGGAUCAUCAAGGGAUGAAGAGUCAUGUCAAUCUUCACACCCAUCCUUGUGGAUUCAUCUCUCCCACUGUAAGAAGGACCAUUUGGUUAGGUGAAGACUGGGGUACAAAGGGGGGUCUUUUUAUCUCAGAUUCCAACCUUCCUUGGCCACACCCUGGACUGGAAGUUGUGCCUUUCUAUCUGCGCUCCGCUGGAGGGGUCAUGAAUGUAUGGGUACAAGGAGCUUCCUACCAGAGCUGGGCAUCCACACUUCUAUGUCUGGGGGUGUUCUGUGAGAUAUCUGAGGAGUAAAGCAAGAGACCCAGUUACAGAGAGGCUACUCUUGUGAUUAUGCUAAAUUUAAAAAGCUGAUUACAUAUUACUAAUUACAUAAAUUAUAAGCAGCAGCGAUUUGUACACCAAAUUUAGAGUAAUUGUUGAACAAUUUCAGACAAGGUGGGACGAGAGUCUGGAGAAGGUAUUGUUUCAGCUGUGAGAGGAGCGAACCAGGGGCCUGUUUCAGAAAGCAGGUUUAACAAACUCUAAGUCAAAACCUCAACUCAAAGUUGACCAACUCUCAGUUGUCAAACAGAAUUAGGAAUUAGUUCAAUCAACUCUGAGUCAAAGUUAACCUGAGUUACACUCGUGCAUGAGGAUAUAAAAAGCCAUCAUCAAUGGAACACAGAUAACGAUUCACCAUGACAACUGGUGGACAAAAAGUUGGAGCCUCCUACUUCUCCCCAUUACAAUUGGAUGCUUAAUGACUGCAUAUGUAGAUUAGCAUAUUUUAAGAAGAAAAAGCAAUACUGCAGCAGCAGCAAAAGAGAGAGAGCUUGUGUGACAGAAAAUUGCAGACCAAGUCAAUGCGUGAGUAUUAAUUAGAGGGGGAAAAAAAGUUUGGUCUUGAAUGUUCCACUCAUUCAACAUUCACAUUCAAUAUGUUUGAGUGCACAGGUGCAACCCAACAGGCGCAAAAAGGACAUGGCAGCAAUUAAAGAUGGAAUAUAAAAAUAUAGUUCAAACAGGUGAGGUAUCACUUACAUUUUAUUUUUUACAUUUGAUUUACAAUCAAUUGUGAUGUUGUUUAGCCUGCUCUCAUUAAACUGCAUUCAGUGGUUAUAUUCUACAUGUGAUAGCUAUAUUUAAGUACUCAGGGAAAUCCCCUAAACAAUGAAAAAGCCAAAUCUUCAGCCAUUCCAUCACUGCCAGUAUUUAAUAUUGUCUAUAUGAAAGCCACACGUAACUGCCUGUUAGAUAUGCAUCUCUCAAAAUGUGAGUUUUCUGGAUAUUCUGGAAAAAUGUGAUGAGACUGUAUUUAAACAAAAGAUAAACAUUUGAUGGUGCACUGUUCUGGGGAAUCAUCAGCUGACUGAUCUUCUUCUACCAGUUAGUGAUGAUGUAAUCUGUCUUGUGGAGCCCUCUACUAUAACAGACCUCCAUGCUGUCGUAAGUAGCUACACUUAAUAUUCCAAUGUGUUAAUAAUGGGUGGAAUAUAAGGGAGAAAUUCUGUUUCACUACAGGGGGGGGAUGCUGAAGACACCUUACCAGCCGCCACAGAAAGGGAAGAUGCAGAGAGGCCUGUUGAGGUCUACACUUUUGUAAAAUAACUUUGGUUUCAGUUAAUAGUGUUGUUCUGCAAUCCAAUUUACAACUUCUUUCUCUACACAGCUUACCUCAGUAGGAAUAUUGUAGACAUGGCACUAACAUUCAACUUCAUUUGUGUUCCUAUAUUGAGAAGUCUAAUUUGUAAAUGGAACACAUCAAGCUGCAAAUUAAAAAAACACAAAGAGAAAUACAACUGCAGUUAAAGGUGGGUGCUGUUUAAUUGUAAAAACAACAAAGGAUUAACUAUACAACAUUUGUACUUGCAGGAAAUAAAGAAAACAUCAUAAAAUAAGAG
ensembl:lncRNA